UCCGUAGGUGAACCUGCGGAAGGAUCAUUAUCAAUUUUACAGUCCUGGGAUGGGGGUAAAAACUCCAUCCCAUGCUGUUCAACCCUUUGUCUUUUGCGUACUGUAUGUUUCCUCGGCGGGUUCGCCCGCCGAUAGGACACUUCAAAACCUUUUGUAAUUGCAAUCAGCGUCAGAAAAACUAUAAUAGUUACAACUUUCAACAACGGAUCUCUUGGUUCUGGCAUCGAUGAAGAACGCAGCGAAAUGCGAAAAGUAGUGUGAAUUGCAGAAUUCAGUGAAUCAUCGAAUCUUUGAACGCACAUUGCGCCCCUUGGUAUUCCAUGGGGCAUGCCUGUUCGAGCGUCAUUUGUACCCUCAAGCUCUGCUUGGUGUUGGGUGUUUGUCCCGCCUUCGCGCGUGGACUCGCCUUAAAGUGAUUGGCAGCCGGAAUAAUUCUGGGGAACGCAGCACAACUGCAGCCUCCAUUUUACGCCGAGCGUCCAGUAAGCCUUUUUUCAACGUUUGACCUCGGAUCAGGUAGGGAUACCCGCUGAACUUAAGCAUAUCAAUAAGCGGAGGAAACGGGCAUUACGCAGAAAGAACGUUUGGACAGGCCACGCAAGUCCAGAACGUUAAAAGGCCGGUC
rnacentral:rRNA from 1 species